CCUACGGGCGGCAGCAGUGAGGAAUUUUGGUCAAUGGGCGCGAGCCUGAACCAUCCAAGUAGCGUGAAGGAUGACUGCCCUACGGGUUGUAAACUUCUUUUAUAAAGGAAUAAAGUGAGGCACGUGUGCCUUUCUGUAUGUACCUUAUGAAUAAGGAUCGGCUAACUCCGUGUCAGCAGCCGCGGUAAUACUGAGGAUCCGAGCGUUAGCCGGAUUUAUUGGGUUUAAAGGGAGCGUAGAUGGGUUGUUAAGUCAGUUAUGAAAGUUUGCGGCUCAAACGUAAAAUUGCAAUUGAUACUGGCGGCCUUGAGUGCAGUUGAGGUAGGCGGAAUUCGUGGUGUAGCGGUGAAAUGCUUAGAUAUCUCGAAGAACUCCGAUUGCGAAGGCAGCUUACUAAACUGCCACUGACAUUGAUGCUCGAAAGUGUGGGUAUCAAACAGGAUUAGAUACCCUUGUAGUC
rnacentral:rRNA from 1 species